UACGUAGGGGGGCAAGCGUUGUCCGGAUUUAUUGGGCGUAAAGAGCGUGUAGGCGGCCAGACAGGUCCGUUGUGAAACUGGAGGCUCAACCUCCAGACGUCGACGGAAACCGUCUGGCUAGAGUCCGGAAGAGGAGAGUGGAAUUCCUGGUGUAGCGGUGAAAUGCGCAGAUAUCAGGAAGAACACCCGUGGCGAAAGCGGCUCUCUGGGACGGUACUGACGCUGAGACGCGAAAGCGUGGGGAGCGAACAGG
rnacentral:rRNA from 1 species